rnacentral:rRNA from 1 species
AUUGAACGCUGGCGGCAGGCUUAACACAUGCAAGUCGAGCGGGGAAAUAUAGCUUGCUAUAUGACCUAGCGGCGGACGGGUGAGUAAUGCUUAGGAAUCUGCCUAUUAGUGGGGGACAACAUUUCGAAAGGGAUGCUAAUACCGCAUACGCCCUACGGGGGAAAGCAGGGGAUCAUUUGACCCUGCGCUCAUAGAUGAGCCUAAGUCGGAUUAGCUAGUUGGUGGGGUAAAGGCCUACCAAGGCGACGAUCUGUAGCGGGUCUGAGAGGAUGAUCCGCCACACUGGGACUGAGACACGGCCCAGACUCCUACGGGAGGCAGCAGUGGGGAAUAUUGGACAAUGGGGGGAACCCUGAUCCAGCCAUGCCGCGUGUGUGAAGAAGGCCUUUUGGUUGUAAAGCACUUUAAGCGAGGAGGAGGCUCCUGUAGAUAAUACCUACAGUGAGUGGACGUUACUCGCAGAAUAAGCACCGGCUAACUCUGUGCCAGCCGCCGCAGUAAUAC